UCACGCCCCACCGCGGGGGAAGCCGGGAAAGGAGCUCGGCUAAGUGGAAGGAGCUCCUAGACGGCACAAGUUGUGGCUGGUUUGGGCAGACUGUGUGGCGGGAUGGAGGAGCACAUGUCACAAUGAAUAUAUGGAAGUCAAAGGACAAGUUAGCCUACCGUAUGGAUCCCUGGAUUCAGACUCGAGUUUUCAGGCUUUGCCACAACCACAACCACCUUUACCAUCGGAUGAGUCUUCUCACUGGCCUAGUAAGGGCGACUCUUAAAAAACAGUUAUUCUGGCCAGCGGUGGAGGUGCACACAUUUAACUCAGCACUCAGGAUGCAGAGGCAGGUGGAUCUCUAAGUUAGAAGCCAGCUUGGUCCACAGGGGGCAAGCAUACAUCUUGACAUACUUCCUGCCUAUGUAUCACCCACCUACAUGUGAUCAAGCACAUCCUGUACAGUUGGUCCAACCAGGUUUGUUUACAAAAGCAAAAACAUAGCUCCCAAGGUCCAAAUGAGGAGCAGGAGGGAGAACAUGAGCAAGGAAGUCAGGACCACGGCGGGUGCGUCCACCCACUGAG